GCAAUUUCACUGCUCAAUUCACUGUCAUUUAGGAGUAAAAUCACUUUGUUUCUGUUUAUGCAGCCCUAGCCCCACCUCCCCUGGCUAUGAUUGACAGAGCCUGCAUGAAAAAAAAAAACUGGUUUCACUUUCAAACAGAUGUAAUUUACCUUAAAUAAUUGUAUCUCAAUCUCUAAAUUGAACUUUAAUCACAUACAGGAGGCUGUUGCAGGGUCUAGCAAGCUAUUAACAUAGCAGGGGAUAAGAAAAUCUUAAUUAAACAGAAC